UACGUAGGGUGCAAGCGUUGUCCGGAAUUAUUGGGCGUAAAGAGCUCGUAGGCGGUUUGUCGCGUCUGCUGUGAAAACCCGAGGCUCAACCUCGGGCCUGCAGUGGGUACGGGCAGACUAGAGUGCGGUAGGGGAGAUUGGAAUUCCUGGUGUAGCGGUGGAAUGCGCAGAUAUCAGGAGGAACACCAAUGGCGAAGGCAGCUUGCUGGGCUACUCCUGACACUGAGGUACGAAAGCGUGGGGAGCGAACAGG
rnacentral:rRNA from 1 species